rnacentral:tRNA from 1 species
GGUCCUAUAGCGCAGUGGUUAGCGCAGAUGACUCAUAAUCAUUUGGUCGCAGGUUCAAGUCCUGCUGGGACCA